AUAUGCAGCCAUAUAGCCCUGCAACUCACAACUGGCAACCCACUGAAGCUAAGCAGGUGUGAGCCUGGUCAGUACCUGGAUGGGAGACCUCAUGGGAAAAACUAAGGUUGUUACUGGAA
rnacentral:rRNA from 1 species